rnacentral:rRNA from 1 species
CGUAGGUGGUCAAGCGUUGUCCGGAGUUUAUUGGGUUUAAAGGGUGCGUAGGCGGUUCCAUAAGUCAGUGGUGAAAUCCGGCAGCUUAACUGUCGAUGUGCCAUUGAUACUGCGGAACUUGAGUACAGACGAGGUAGGCGGAAUUGACGGUGUAGCGGUGAAAUGCUUAGAUAUCGUCAAGAACACCGAUAGCGAAGGCAGCUUACUAGACUGUAACUGACGCUGAUGCACGAAAGUGUGGGGAUCAAACAGGAUUAGAUACCCUGGUAGUCCACACUGUAAACGAUGAUUACUCGAUGUUGGCGAUACACAGCCAGCGUCUUAGCAAAAGCGAUAAGUAAUCCACCUGGGGAGUACGCCGGCAACGGUG